GGCCUACCAAGGCGAUGAUGGGUAGCUGGUCUGAGAGGACGACCAGCCACAUUGGGACUGAGAUACGGCCCAGACUCCUACGGGAGGCAGCAGUGGGGAAUAUUGGCCAAUGGACGCAAGUCUGAGCCAGCGACACCGCGUGGGGGAUGAAGGCUUUCGGGUCGUAAACCCCUUUUCUGGGGGAAGAAUAAGGUCGGGAGGAAAUGCUCGUCCGAUGACGGUACCCCAGGAACAAGCAUCGGCUAACUCCGUGCCAGCAGCCGCGGUAAGACGGAGGAUGCAAGCGUUAUCCGGAAUUACUGGGCGUAAAGGGCGUCUAGGCGGUCAGGUAAGUCACCUGUGAAAGCCCUCGGCUUAACCGGGGAAGGUCGGGUGAUACUGCUUGACUUGGGUGUAGGAGAGGAGAGUGGAACUCACAGAGUAGCGGUGGAAUGCGUAGAUACUGUGAGGUACCCCGAUGGCGAAGGCAACUCUCUGGCCUACCACCGACGCUGAAGCGCGAAAGCGUGGGGAGCAAAGGGGAUUAGAUACCCCCGUAGUCCACGCCCCAAACGAUGUUCACUUGGUGUCGGCCGCUUAUACAGGUCGGUGCCGAAGCUAACGCGUUAAGUGAACCGCCUGAGGAGUACGGCCGCAAGGCUAAAACUCAAGAGAAUUGACGGGUCCCCGCACAAGCGGUGGAGCACGUGGUUUAAUUCGAUGGUAAGCGAAGAACCUCACCUGGGCUUGACAUACUAGUGGUAGAAACUGGAAACAGGGACGACCCUGCUUCGGUAGGGAGCUAGUACAGGUGAUGCAUGGCUGUCGUCAGCUCGUGUCGUGGGAUGUAGGGUUAAGUCCCGAAACGAGCGCAACCCUUGUCGUUAGUUGCCAGCGGGUAAUGCCGGGGACUCUAGCGAGACUGCUGGUGAAUAGCCGGAGGAAGGCGGGGAUGACGUCAAGUCAUCAUGUCCCUUAUGCCCAGGGCGACACACAUGCUACAAUGGGAGGCACAAAGGGUCGCGAAGUCGUGAGGCGGAGCCAAUCUCAAAAAAACCUCCCUCAGUUCGGAUUGAGGUCUGCAACUCGACCUCAUGAAGCCGGAAUCGCUAGUAAUCGUAGGUCAGCCACACUACGGUGAAUAUGUACUCGGGGAUUGUACACACCGCCCGUCACACCAACCGAGUGGGGGGUACCUGAAGUCGCCCUUCUUAGGGCGCCGAGGG
rnacentral:rRNA from 1 species